rnacentral:tRNA from 1 species
UGGUGUAUAGCCAAAAGGUAAGGCAAUGGUUUUUGAUACCAUUAUUUAGAGGUUCGAGUCCUUUUACACCAG